AUCUACUCACUUCAAAAUCUUGUGGUUACUACUCUAUCCUAAUUCUCCUUGACCUGUCUGCGGCUUUUGACACUGUUGAUCAUCAACAGCUUCUUCUCAUCCUCCGCAAUAUCAGUCUGCAAGAUAUUGCUCUCUCCUGGUGCUCCUCCUACCUCUUUCAGCGCUCUUUCAAUGUUUCUUUCUCUGGCUCUGCUUCUUCUCCCCAACUCCUCUCUGUUGGUGUCCCCCAAGGUUCAGUCCUUGGUCCCCUACUGUUCUUUAUCUAUACUGCCUCCCUUGGUAAACUCAUUAGCUCCUUUGGCUUCCGAUAUCAUUUCUAUGCAGAUGACACACAAAUCUACCUGUCAUCUCCUGAUCUCUCCCAGUCCCUCUUGACUAGUGUCUGACUGCCUCUCUGCUAUUUCUAACUGGAUGGCUGCCCACUUCCUUAAACUCAACUUGACCAAAACUGAAAUUCUAGUCUUUCCUCCCUCAAGUGUUGCCACCCUUGUGUCUGCCUCCCUCCAAGUCAACGGUGCUAAAUCUGCUCCACCACGCAGGCUUGCUGCCUAGGUGUUCUCUUUGACUCCGAUCUCUCCUUCAUGCCUCAUGUUCAGUCUAUCGCCAGAUCCUGUCGUUUCCAUCUCAAAAAUAUUGCGUGCAUCCAACCCUACUUAACGCCAGGUGCCACUAAGGUGCUGGUUCAUUCCAUUGUCCUUUCUCACCUUGACUACUGUUAUCCGCUUCUCAGUGGUCUUACAUGCAUCCAUCUUGUGCCGUUACAGUCCAUAAUGAAUGCGGCGGCGAGGCUCAUCUUCCUGUCCGCCCGCACCGCCCACGCCUCACCCUUCUGUCAGUCC